rnacentral:lncRNA from 1 species
UAUCCAAGCAUCUGGUGAAACAAUGUCUUCUCCUUAUGUUUUGAAUUUGCUUUCAGAGAGGAAAACUUUUUCCUGAAUAUGUGUCUAUAGUAUCUGCUGGAUAUGGUACUUUGACUUUGAUUCUAGGUACAUGAGUAGUGUAGUUUGUAUGAUUUCUCAAAUGUAAAUAGCAUCCAUGGUGUCUGUGAUUUCCUUGGUGGGAUAGGGUGCAGUUUUAAGUGGUGGUCAUAGUGAAGUUUUGCUGGGGACUAUUCCCAGUGGUGACAACAGUGGGCUGGCUGUGCCAGUCCUUGGUCAGCAGAGUGACAUAUGCUGGUACCAGUGUUAGCAUAUCCAGGCAGGUCAAUUCUUGGGCCUCCAGGUGGCUUGCUUAGAAGCUGUUAGAGGCAGUGGUGGGCCAGAUGGGUUGGAGUGCAGUGAUGUGAUCAUAGCUCAAUGUAGCCUUGACCUUCUGGCUCAAAGGAUCCCGCUGCUUCAGCCCCCACAGUAGCUAGGACUACAGGCUCACUCCUCCAUGCCUGGGGU